rnacentral:ncRNA from 2 species
GGUUGGGCGAAAGCUUUCAAGGAUCAGGUUCUUCAAGGGGUGAGAAGAA